rnacentral:rRNA from 1 species
UACAGAGGUCUCAAGCGUUGUUCGGAUUCAUUGGGCGUAAAGGGUGCGUAGGCGGCGCGGUAAGUCGGGUGUGAAAUCUCGGAGCUUAACUCCGAAACUGCAUUCGAUACUGCCGUGCUUGAGGACUGGAGAGGAGACUGGAAUUUACGGUGUAGCGGUGAAAUGCGUAGAUAUCGUAAGGAAGACCAGUGGGGAAGGCGGGUCUCUGGACAGUUCCUGACGCUGAGGCACGAAGGUCAGGGGAGCAAACGGG